GGGGUUGUGGCUCAGAGGUAGAGCGCUCGCCUAGUAUGCGGGAGGCACUGGGUUUGAUCCUCAGCACCACA
rnacentral:tRNA from 1 species